ACUUUGGGUCCUUUCAAAUCCAGGUCAACAUCAGGCAUGGAGAUCUUGGGGGCUUUGAUGCUCAUCUCAGGCAUCUUGAACUUGGGGCCCUUUAGUUUCGCAUCUGGACCUUCGAUAUUCACAUCAGGAACAUCAACGUCCACUUUGGGUCCUGAGACAUCAAUGUCAGCCUUGGGCAGGUUCACAUCCACAUCUGGGCCCUCUCCUUUGAAGCCAGGCAUGCUGAACUUGGGCAUUUUCACUUUGGGCAUUUUUAAGUGCCAGUCUGGGCCUUGAACGUCCACAUCUGGGACAUCAAUGUCCACUUUGGGGCCCUUGAUGUCAACUUCAGGGCCCUUGAGGUCACCUUCCACUUUGGGCAGAGAAAUAUCCACAUCGCCCUUCACCUUGGG
rnacentral:lncRNA from 1 species